CACGUAGGGCGCGAGCGUUGUCCGGAAUUAUUGGGCGUAAAGAGCUCGUAGGCGGCCUGUUGCGUCCGCUGUGAAAGCCCGGGGCUUAACCCCGGGUCGGCAGUGGAUACGGGCAGGCUAGAGGUAGGUAGGGGAGAAUGGAAUUCCUGGUGUAGCGGUGAAAUGCGCAGAUAUCAGGAGGAACACCAAUGGCGAAGGCAGCACUCUGGGACGUGACUGACGCUGAGACGCGAAAGCGUGGGGAGCAAACAGG
rnacentral:rRNA from 1 species